rnacentral:pre_miRNA from 1 species
AUUGUACUCCCUCCGUUUGGAAUUACUUGUCGAAGAAAUGAAUGUAUCUAGAUGUAUUUUAGUUGUAGAUACAUCCAUUUUUGUGACAAGUAAUUCUGAACGGAGGGAGUAAUUU